rnacentral:rRNA from 1 species
GAUGAACGCUGACAGAAUGCCUAACACAUGCAAGUCAACUUGAAUUUGGGUUUUUAACUUAGGUUUGGGUGGCGGACGGGUGAGUAACGCGUAAAGAACUUGCCUCACAGCUAGGGACAACAUUUGGAAACGAAUGCUAAUACCUAAUAUUAUGAUAAUAGGGCAUCCUAUAAUUAUGAAAGCUAUAAGCGCUGUGAGAGAGCUUUGCGUCCCAUUAGCUAGUUGGAGAGGUAACGGCUCACCAAGGCGAUGAUGGGUAGCCGGCCUGAGAGGGUGAUCGGCCACAAGGGGGCUGAGACACGGCCCUUACUCCUACGGGAGGCAGCAGUGGGGAAUAUUGGACAAUGGACCAAGAGUCUGAUCCAGCAAUUCUGUGUGCACGAUGAAGUUUUUCGGAAUGUAAAGUGCUUUCAGUUGGGAAGAAAGAAAUGACGGUACCAACAGAAGAAGUGACGGCUAAAUACGUG